UGGUUUUUUGUGUAACUUUAUUUACACCACUUAAUAAAGAAAAGAGUUAGUGAGCAGCUAAGUCUGCUCAACAGCAUCACAGCCUAGAGCCAGACAUUUUACAAGUCUGGCUGGGAAGAGAGCGAGCUACACGCUACGCAGUCAGCCUUGG